rnacentral:lncRNA from 1 species
GGAGCAGAGAGGAUAAACCACUGUUCUACUCUUUGAUACCUCAUUCCCUAACAAAGAAGCAGCAGGUUGUGGUUUCUGAGAGCCCAGGCUACGUAGAUGGGAAUGGAAGAAUGAGAAGGGAGCCAGGGCCAAGGUGGGGACUGUGUCCAGCAUAUGAAGUGCUCUUCUCUGCAGCCAUCCCUACUGCAAGGAGGAGUCUGACUGACUUCAGUAAUCAGCCUUCAAAUGGUAUGUGGGCU